rnacentral:snRNA from 1 species
GAAUGUGAGGGUGAUCUGGCUACAACAGCUGUCACCCACUGAUCACCAGGGUAGAUUCAGCUGAUCUGGCUGGCUAGAUGGGGUCCCCUUCCUCCCUCACUCCAUGUGUAUCUCUCCCAAAGCUGCACACUCGGUGCAAGAGGACGACCUUCCCUGGAUAGAGGAGGACUGGCCUCCAGUUAAGGGUAUACGAGUAGCUGGGCUCUCUGGCUAGAAUCUCCAAAGGCGCUCUGAACGAGAAAUAGCUUUAUAUUCUAGACUCAACCAAAGGCACAAUCCCGCCACCAGAAUU